CCUACGGGAGGCAGCAGUAGGGAAUAUUGGACAAUUGGGGCACCCUGAUCCAGCCAUGCCGCGUGAGUGAAGAAGGCCCUCGGGUUGUAAACGCUCUUUUGUCCGGAAAGAAAAGCAAUCGGUUAAUACCCGGUUGUUCUGACGGUACCGGAAGAAUAAGCACCGGCUAACUUCGUGCCAGCAGCCGCGGUAAUACGAAGGGUGCAAGCGUUACUCGGAAUUACUGGGCGUAAAGCGUGCGUAGGUGGUUCGUUAAGUCUGAUGUGAAAGCCCUGGGCUCAACCUGGGAAUGGCAUUGGAUACUGGCGAGCUAGAGUGCGGUAGAGGGUAGUGGAAUUCCCGGUGUAGCAGUGAAAUGCGUAGAGAUCGGGAGGAACAUCUGUGGCGAAGGCGACUGCCUGGACCAGCACUGACACUGAGGCACGAAAGCGUGGGGAGCAAACAGGAUUAGAUACCCUGGUAGUCCACGCCCUAAACGAUGCGAACUGGAUGUUGGGUUCAACUUGGAACUCAGUAUCGAAGCUAACGCGUUAAGUCGCCGCCUGGGGAGUACGGUCGCAAGACUGAAACUCAAAGGAAUUGACGG
rnacentral:rRNA from 1 species